CACGUUUGGACGCGCGGGUCAGGCUAGGCCUCUGCGGACAGCGGGGAACCGAGGACGACCGCCGGGGACAGAGAACAGUGCGCCGGCGUGGGGGCUGGCCACGGAGCACCGGCACGACGGCGACGCAAGGCUAAACCUAGGAGAGGAUGACAAUUCUUCGAGGACAGCCUGGAAGGGAGCUUGACUUCGCCACUCUCAGUAUCUACUGGGAUGUAACUAUCUUCACCAAGAAGGAAAUUAACCUCCCAUCCUCCGCACCACUUAAGGCCCAGCCCUGCCCGGCCCUGCACCAUUCUAGUCCAACCUAAUCAACCUCCAGCCACAGGUUCCCAGUCGUCAGGAUCUUCUGCUUGACCAACACCUCAAGGGAUCUUACCUUUCUCCUGCCUGCCAGACGGCUAGGGCUGCUCGAGGCCUCUCCUUAUCUUGCCUGCAACAUUGUGGACACAGAGUUGUGCUCCAUAUCUUGGGUUGAAAAACAACAAUUAAGCUUUAGAGAUUCUGUGCAUUCCUGAAUGUGUGCUACAAGGGCCCUGGGUCUCAAGGUCAUGAAUCUGGACUUGGAACCUACAUUGAUUCCUGUCCCAGUUCUUCUUACUGGUUUGUCAUCCUGAACUGGUAACUUAGUCUUUCUGAGUCU